UCACAGGUUAACGAUGUUUUUUUAGAUUUUAUAGGGUUUUAUCAAAUUUUUAAUUAAUGAAAUUUUAAUUAAAUUUGAAUCAGAUUAUAUACCGAUCACUGGGUUUACCACUUUAACUGCGGAUCCAGCUCGUAUAUGAAAACAAUGAAUAUCUAUUUUUUAUGUAAAUCAAAAUUUUAAAAGCAUACUUAAUACCAACUAGCAUUUUUAUCCAUAAAUCAAACCCGCGCUUUUGAAAGCACGGUCAAAAUCUAGUUGUCAUUAAAAAAAAAUCUCCUCCACUUUAUGGUGAAAAAGAAAAGUUGGGUUUGGUGUAUAAGACCAAGUCAUUCUCUUCUUUCUUGCAUACAUGCUAACAAAAACAAAACUAUUUUUUGUAUUUUUUUUUCUUUAUUUUUUUUUCGAGUCUGAGACUAUAUACAAAACUUGUUUUGUCAGGCUUAUGAUAGAUUGAUGUAAAUCAGAAGACUUUUUACAGUUGUAUUCUUGGAUUCAUUAGUUAUAGAAUCGUUAGAUUACGGGACAUACUUUGAAUUAAGAAAAGAGAUAAUAUCUCAACUCUUCAAUUAUAUCAUCCUUUCCUUACUCUCUGGUUUAAUCUUUUCAUUUUUAUUCUUUACAAUAUUCAAUUAUGUUUAGUUUAUGUAUUGCAGUUCUAUCAGUAAUCAAUACCUUAAGACGGGUGUUUGCAGCCUUAGAUUCACUUAAUUUUUUCUUGAUUCCAGAUUCCUCUUUUGUUAAAAGUUUGAAUCUCUGUCUUCUUUUCUUCCUUCAACCUAACAAGCUCUUCCUUGUUUGCAUGCAGUUGGUGCCAUAGAGCGGCCCUGUCAAUGUUCGCAUGCUCUACAGCCUUCUUCAGAAUGGCUAAAACAGGUCUCACAACCUCUCACUCCUGAAAAAUCAGAAUAUCAAGAAUCCGCAUCUCUAAGUCUAACUCUCGGUUGCUACUCGUAAGCUGGUGAAUAUAUCUACAGGUCUCCUCAGUAUUUGAACCCUAAAGGUUUGGUGUGAGAGAGAGAGAGAGUUGAACCCAAGUUUUAGGGUGUCAAAGUGCAAUUUAAACCAAAAAUGAUAGAUAUUUUUCAAUGUUUCUACCUACAAUCUAUUAUCCCUUAUAUAUUAAAAAAGAAGUAUUGUGAUAAAUGCAUUCAAACUAUAAUAGAUACGUGUCAGUCUCACAAUGAUAUCAUUGAUAAUAAGUAUGUUCACGG
rnacentral:lncRNA from 1 species